GCGAGGGUAGCUCAAAGGUAGAGCUCCACGUUGCCAACGUGGUGGUUGCGGGUUCAAGCCCCGUCCCUCGCU
rnacentral:tRNA from 1 species